rnacentral:lncRNA from 1 species
CUGCCCUGUAAGUCAGGGAGCAUCUGUGUCCCGGAGUCCCAGGCCCUUUUCAAUGGCGGCAGUGGCCGGGGGUCCCCUGUAAGCAGGGAAGCUGACUCUUUGGCUGCUGCUUUUUGUGUGCCCAGCCCCAUUUGCCCGGUCUGCCCGCCUCUGUGAUCCCCCGCAGCACUGGCUGGAAGUCCGCCGCGUGUCAGUGAGGAGCUGCUGCAGAAGAAAGAAGAAGCGGCGUGGGGACCUGGG